rnacentral:tRNA from 1 species
GCGCCCGUAGCUCAACUGGAUAGAGCGCUAGACUACGGAUCUGGAGGUUGGGAGUUCGAACCUUCCCGGGCGCG